AACGAACGCUGGCGGCAUGCCUAACACAUGCAAGUCGAACGAGACCUUCGGGUCUAGUGGCGCACGGGUGCGUAACGCGUGGGAAUCUGCCCCUGGGUUCGGAAUAACAGUUAGAAAUGACUGCUAAUACCGGAUGAUGACUUCGGUCCAAAGAUUUAUCGCCCAGGGAUGAGCCCGCGUCGGAUUAGCUAGUUGGUGAGGUAAAGGCUCACCAAGGCGACGAUCCGUAGCUGGUCUGAGAGGAUGAUCAGCCACACUGGGACUGAGACACGGCCCAGACUCCUACGGGAGGCAGCAGUGGGGAAUAUUGGACAAUGGGGGCAACCCUGAUCCAGCAAUGCCGCGUGAGUGAUGAAGGCCUUAGGGUUGUAAAGCUCUUUUACCCGGGAUGAUAAUGACAGUACCGGGAGAAUAAGCCCCGGCUAACUCCGUGCCAGCCGCCGCUGUAACAC
rnacentral:rRNA from 1 species